rnacentral:rRNA from 1 species
UACGUAGGUGGCAAGCGUUAUCCGGAUUUAUUGGGCGUAAAGGGAACGCAGGCGGUCUUUUAAGUCUGAUGUGAAAGCCUUCGGCUUAACCGGAGUAGUGCAUUGGAAACUGGGAGACUUGAGUGCAGAAGAGGAGAGUGGAGCUCCAUGUGUAGCGGUGAAAUGCGUAGAUAUAUGGAGGAACACCAGUGGCGAAAGCGGCUCUCUGGUCUGUAACUGACGCUGAGGUUCGAAAGCGUGGGUAGCAAACAGG